UGCUGCACACACAUACAAACCGCGUGUGUGCACACUCGGAGCUCCCGGGCGGUCCGUCGCCCCCCCGGCGCAGCUUCUCCGUCACCCACCCCUCUCCCCCCUUUUGUCCUUCUUCCUCCCAUCCAGGCUGUUCCCAGAACCUCUCGGCCCCCGGAACCAGGGGGAGCCCACCCUAACCGCGUUCCUGCAGCACAACAACGAGAACAGCUUCUUCCAAAUGGGGAGGAUCAAGGGUAGGGGGAUGGGAAGAGGGUGCGCGGUUCCCUUCUUGCCACUUCCUUGUAUGGACAGUGGGGGACUCCAAAGCCCGGCUCGGGAGAGGCCCGAAGCCCGGUACCCGGACGUGCUGGGGGAAGCACAAAGGGGCCAACAAGAAGGGGGUGGGGAGGCCCGCCGGUGCAACGAGAUGGAGUGGGCUGGCGCCUCGGGAAAGCGAAUCGAGGGCGGCGGGUAGGUGAAACUGCUGCAAACGUCCUCGGAGACCGAGAUCAACCCCCCAAAUUGCAAAGAGAGGAGGGAGAAGCUGGGGCCCAGCUGUCCUGCUGUGUCAGCCUGAAGGUAUUAUGGAGCAGAAAAGUAAGCCAUUGGCAUCCAUCCACUGAACAAGGCUUUGCUUUGAUCGACACCAUCAGUUGCAGCUGAUAAUAGGAACUAUGGGCUAAUGAGAGAAAUAAGACUUGGCUCUGUUGACAGGUGCCAGGGAAACUUCACACACCUUCCUCUUGGAACUUGGAGGAUGAAGUUAGGCCAGUGGGGUCCAGCAAUGUGCCACCUUGGAGAGCUCCCGCCCUGACAGUUGAGGGGGAUUGAAGAGAGAGCAGGUGGGAUACAGACAUCUUUGGAAGUGACCUCUUGUGGCUAAUCUAGGCACUGCACUCUGCAUGGACGAGCUUCAUCAUCCUUCAAGGUGGCUGGUACUAGAGCCAAGAGUAGGUAGCGUGAGUGGUCAAGAUGUCCCUGUUGGAAGACUGGAGAUUCCGAGUUCUUCUAAUUUCCUGUUGCCGCCCUCUUGCUCUUACUCUUGGAAAGCAGCCAUGCAGGGCACCCCUCUCAGUAUAGAAUGUGCAUACUGGGGGCCAAUGCGGGGCAUUUCCAUCUUGGUUGGUCUGGGUCUCAUAGGGAAGGGGCAAACUUAAGCAGAUCCUCCCAGCCACCUUUUUCCAGAGCUCAUGGUUAGGGCCUUUGCCUAACUUAGGAGCCAAGUCCCUAAGCUGCAUUACCACUGCUUCUGACAAUCUAAGUGUUCUGUGAGGCCAAGCCAGAUUAGGGCUUCAUGUUCAGGGGAUCAGUCUCUGUUUCCUAUUCCAAUUUCCAAAGCCUUGCUUGCUUGGGAAUAAGGGGAAGGAGAGAUGCAUCAGGCUUCCUGAGCCUAGUUAGCAUUGAGAAGGGCAUCAGUGGCAUUGAGAAGGGCUUUGAGAGUGUGCCAGCCUGUGGUUCUGGGCCUGGCAAAGAGGAGGAAAUAAGGCAUUGGGUGGAUAUGCAUAGGGGUUCCUGGGCUCCCACAUCCCUGUGGCACCAACCAUUGGGGCCUCUGAUUUCUCCUGCCAUCUGUUGCACUGUCCCUUUUGGGACAGGGGACCCUGUCCAACUGCAUGUAACUAUUUCUUUUUAAAUAAAAUCUGAGCAUUUUGGGUG